AGCAGCCGCGGUAAUUCCAGCUCCAAUAGCGUAUAUUAAAGUUGUUGCAGUUAAAAAGCUCGUAGUUGAAUUUCGGGAUCAAUAUAUCGGUCGUGCCUUUGGUACGUACUGGUAUCAUUGAUUUCUCCUUUCUGACGAACCAUGAUGUCAUUAAUUUGGUGUUAUGAGGAGUUAGGACUGUUACUUUGAAAAAAUUAGAGUGUUUAAAGCAGGCAUUAGCUUGAAUACAUUAGCAUGGAAUAAUGAAAUAGGACGUUUGACCCUAUUUUGUUGGUUUUAGGUCGACGUAAUGAUUAAUAGGGAUAGUUGGGGGCAUUAGUAUUCAAUUGUCAGAGGUGAAAUUCUUGGAUUUAUUGAAGACUAACUACUGCGAAAGCAUUUACCAAGGAUGUUUCAUUAAUCAAGAACGAAAGUUAGGGAUCGAAGACGAUCAGAUACCGUCGUAGUCUUAACCAUAAACUAUGCCGACUAGGGAUCGGAUGAUGUUUAAUUUUAUAAUGACUCAUUCGGCGUCCUUAACGGGAAACCAAAGGUUC
rnacentral:rRNA from 1 species